ACGCUCGACACCUACGGGAGGCUGCAGUGGGGAAUAUUGCACAAUGGGGGAAACCCUGAUGCAGCGACGCCGCGUGAGCGAAGAAGUAUUUCGGUAUGUAAAGCUCUAUCAGCAGGGAAGAAACUGACGGUACCUGACUAAGAAGCACCGGCUAAAUACGUGCUAGCAGCCGCGGUAAUCUGAGCGGGCUGGCAAGGC
rnacentral:rRNA from 1 species